UUUCCGUAGGUGAACCUGCGGAAGGAUCAUUAUUGUAUAACCGAGGUGCGAGGGCUGUCGCUGACCCGAAAGGUCGUGCACGCCCGAGUGCCCUCACACACAUCCAUCUCACCCCUAUGUGCACCACCGCGUGCGUCCCCCUUUGGCUUGUUCGGAGGGGGGCUUACGCUUUCACACAAACUUUGUAUGCAGUGUAGAAUGUAUUUUUUGUUUUUGCGAUCCCGCAAUCAAUACAACUUUCAACAACGGAUCUCUUGGCUCUC
rnacentral:misc_RNA from 1 species